rnacentral:lncRNA from 1 species
GGAGAGAAACUGCAGGACACGCAGAAGAAACAAAACCAUACCUGAGACAGCAAACAAAAAGAAUGAGACACAGGCUCUCUUUCUACUCUCUGUUUUGCCUCAGGAUGAACACAGUCUCCCUAACCUCUGACCUCAUCUACUGCAGCUCCUGACAUCUGGGUUCCUUUAUCCCCUCAAGUGAAAAUUCUUCGUUCACUUUUGGAAAAUGGAGUGAUGCCUUUUCUCAGUGUGAUCCACUCUCCAAUCUCCCAGGCUCUGCUAUGUGCCCUGGGAGGCUGAUCUGUUUGGAAGACAGCAACAUCCUUUGACUUACCAUUGAGUUUACCCAAUAGGGAACCCUAGCAAGAGAUGUGGAAGGAGGAAGGCAGGGAGGGAAGGGGAGAGGAGUGACAGAUGGAAAGGCGAGAGGAAGAAAAGUAACAUCUCAGUAUUAGUCCCUUAGAUCCUUCCAAGCAGUUAUCAUGGGUAGACUGUGUCCAAUCUGUAAGCCAAAUGUCUUAGCUCCUAUAAACAGCCUUCUCCAAAUAGCCACCCCUGUCUGUCACUCAGGCAAUCACUGUCUCCUCUUAUCACCUAUCUCCAAAGUUAGUAAGAGAAUAUUGCCAUUAUACUUUCCCAAGGUAUGGCAUGAACUCUUGUAGUUGCACUACACCUUACCAAAGCUUUGUAAAUAGUCCCUACUAAACUCUCCACAUGUUAUAAUUUGACUGUGACCUCUAUUCCUUGCUAGAAUUCAAGUUAGUAAGGUUGACACAGCCUGAAUUUGUAACACCAUGUACUUCUAUCCAUGCACAUGCCCUUAAGUUCCAGAAGAGUACAGGAGUGAUAGGAUUCUCAGUUGUAAGGAAUGUGGGAAUUCUCUCAAUGAGUAAUUAAGCAACAGUAUUCAAGGAACUAGGGUGUCGCUGUGCAGACUUAGAAGCCUUGCUUUUGUGAAGCCCUUAGCCAAAUACAAUUGUCUAGAUCAUGCUGCUGAACAAGCACAGGAAUUUUAUAAAUACUGACAGAGUUUUUUUCCUGUAAAUUUUGCUAACUGUGGUUUGUGUGCUAUUAACAUAAGAAUCUAAAU